GCCGACCUCAACCCGCCCGCCGCCGCGGCCGACCUCAACCCGCCCGCCGCCGCGGCCGCACCUCUGCCCGCUCGCCGCCCCUGCCGUGCUCUCGACCGCAGCUUCUGGAUCAGCUCAGCGCAGCUGCUCGAGAGGCUGGGGACGACGCAUCUGCUCGGUGCAGAACGGCGGCGGCGGGAUCCAGUGGGCGCGGGAGAAUGAGGGAUCCGGCGCCGCGGGCGAAGUCCUUGCAGCUGGAGGCGGGCCUCCAUGGCUGGCAGGGAGAGCUCCAAGGUCAUGGCGGGGCUUUGAUUUUUCUGGUAGAAAAGAGAGACAGAGGAGGAUCCAAGGAGGAGGAGAGGUAGGAGAAGAAGGAAGGAUGCGGCAGGGUGCAGCGGUGUGAGGGCACUGGUCUCCCGCAUGAGGAGCGCCUCUCCUCGGGAGGAUCUGGAGGGAGUGAGUGAAACUCAAAUCCACUUCAGAGCAAGGUACUGUUGUAGAAGUACGAAGAAGCAAGCUGACCAGAUGUACAAGUAGUAGCCGGCAACGACGAUGAAACAAGCCAACCAGAUGUGCACGAAACGACCAUACAUCAUGCCUGAUUGAUCCUCUGUUCAUGAGCACUGGACAACCAGCACAAGAGCAAGGCCUUCUUCAAGCUAAAGCUGAAGAAAUGUUUACGCAAAGAACAUUCAUUUUCACAUCACUUGGGUGCUGGUUCAGGCUGAUGGGUGCAUCUCCAAACGAAGCAGAUAUCCACUAAGAAGAAACUCAUCUGAGUUCUCAAGUUGAAAUCAAAUUGGCCAGCUACGUUUCAAAGUAUGAGAUGUGGUUGGGCAAUAAACUGCAUCCCCUAUGCCAAGCCUACCGAGUUCACUAAAGCAACAAGCAGGGGAUCACCUUGAUGCAUAUCGCCAUCACAUUCAGACCCAAAGAUCUGGGAGCUGCAGUCUGGGCAUGAUUAACUGGGCAGUGCCAAAGUCAAGCUUCUGGAUGGUGGCGACAACAAUGGUGGCUGGAGGCGAUGGGGCUAGCAGCGUGGCAAACAGUAGCGCGCAGCGUUUCAUGGUAGGGCGUGUGGCCAGUGCUUGCGGCGGUUGUGGAUGAUGAAGUACUGGACCUGCGGUGGACGACCAUCCGCAAGAUCUACAUCAUCAUCUUUGGGUCAGUUUGCCAUGAAGGCCAUUCUGCGAACGAGGUUGUUCAUGUCCCUCCUCAUGUACAGUGGUACUUCUAUUCUAGGAUUUCAACUCUGCACUCCAUUCCGCAUCCUGAAUAUUCAGAGUCUCGAGUUUGCAUGAGUCUCGAUUUGAUUAAAUGAACAGGUCAGUAAGAUAGAUUUUUGGUCGAGGAUAGAUUUUUGAUUGUGUGUGGGAUGAGAGGGAAUACUUAUCGGGUUAGGGUCGUGACAUUUUUUUCUCCCAUUGCAACACACGGGCAUUUUUGCUAUUAAUUUUUUUAUUUUUUAAUAAUAAAGCACGGAUUGAUUCCG